rnacentral:lncRNA from 1 species
AUGAAAAACUGUGUGCCUCUUCCUUAUUUUAUGCAUGCAUAUUUUUCAGGCUCAGCUGAAUGCGAUGCAUCUGAGCCGUCUGCAUGCUGCCACCACGAGCCCUAGCACGGCUUACCCGAGCCCCUGGCUUCAGAGCGGUGAGGCGAGGCCGUGCUCUCGCUCCAGCCAUGUUGCCAAUAGUGAGGAGGGAAUGCACACCAAGAGCAGCGCAUGUGAAAGACGCCCAUAUGCCAUCCCAACCAUCCCUGAGGUGCAUGAGCCUCUGGAGAGAAAAGCUCGGUUUAGGAGCCGCAAUGUCAUGUCUCUGGGUGAUGCGGACAGUUUGUGUCUGAUCUGCCAUGAUGACCUACGCAAAGGAGGAGGAGUUAUCAGAAAGCUUCACUGUUCCCACAGCUUCCACAGUGAGGUAAAGGUUCAGACUUUAGAAAUGAUCAAAUUCAGCUUCAAAAAUCUAAUAUUUCCAGAUAUACGUGGCCUAAAAACCAG